ACCCAACCCCAGGGCUGCUGACUCCCAGUCCAGUGCUCGUGAUCCCAGCCGGGCCCUGAACUAGGGGUCUGGAGGCCUGGGUUUGAAUGUCGCCGG
rnacentral:pre_miRNA from 13 species